rnacentral:rRNA from 1 species
CCUACGGGAGGCAGCAGUGGGGAAUUUUACGCAAUGGGGGAAACCCUGACGUAGCGACACCGCGUGAGCGAAGAAGCCCUUUGGGGUGUACAAGCUCUCGUCAGCUGGAACGAAAACAAUGACGGUACCAGCAGAGGAAGCAUCGCGCUAACUACGUGCCAGCAGCCGCGGUAAU